rnacentral:rRNA from 1 species
UCGAGAAUCAUUCGCAAUGGGCGAAAGCCUGACGAUGCGACGCUGUGUGAGCGAUGAAGGCCUUCGGGUCGUAAAGCUCUUUCGCUUGGGAACAAGAGAUGCUGGCUAAUAUCCAGCAAAUUUGAGGGUACCGAGUAAAGAAGCACCGGCUAACUACGUGCCAGCAGCUGCGGUAAUACGUAGGGUGCAAGCAUUAAUCGGAUUUAUUGGGCGUAAAGGACGCGUAGGCUGUUUUGUAAGUCGAGUGUGAAAUUCCGGGGCUCAACCUCGGAGCUGCACUGGAAACUACAUAACUAGAGGGUAGAAGGAGAAAACGGAAUUCCACAAGUAGCGGUGAAAUGCGUAGAUAUGUGGAAGAACACCGGUGGCGAAGGCGGUUUUCUAUUUUAUUCCUGACGCU